GGCCGCCUGGCGUAAUGGCAACGCGUCUGACUACGAGAGGGUAAUCAGGAGAUUGCAGGUUCGACCCCUGCGGUGGUCA